ACUGUCAUCACAAAGAAGGCAUAACAAAGAAGUUUGCCCAGAUUUUGCAUGACAUUGAAACCUUUGACAAACUUCUACAGAUGCAAGUGGAAAGUAUUGUGACUUCUUGUAUCACGUCCUGAUAUGGACACAUGAAUGGAAACGUCUACAAAAACAUGGUGGAUAUAGCCCAGGCCAUCACAGGCAAAUCCCUUCCCACCACUUACCACGUUUACAAGGAGCAGCAUCUAUCAUUAAAGAGUUCCACUAUCCAGGCCUGAUCUCUUCUCACUGCAGUCAUAGAAAAAAAGCCUUGGGUUGCUCAACCUUUCUUCAUAAGACAUGAUCGCUAAUCCAGAUAGCAACCUGGUAGAAGGCUGCAAACUCAAACACACUGGCAGUUUAUGACAAGUCAACAGCUCAGCUUUAAUCAAUCCUGUGGUGGAAUAUAGAAUUGCACAGUAUUUGACUAGAAAAUUACUGAACCAACAGUUUAUAAUUAGUUUGGAAUGAUUAUUCUUGGGAAAUAUUUCUUCAAAGCUUUUCUGAGAUUGCUUUUGAAUAAUUUUGCUAUGCUGUUAUAGGCUGAAUGUUAUGCUCGAUGCUAUUUCUCUACAUAAAUUAUCCAAGCGACUAUGUUCUCUGUUGGAGUACAAGUAUGCCCAGUAAGCUGCAAAUAUUGCUUUCAGUUUGUUGAUUAUCUGUUCUGCUAUUGUGCCUGAUCUGUGUUUAUCUUCAAUCAAUUUUGAGUAUGUUUCAGUGGUGAUUAGGAAGUUGUCAUUGACCUGACAAAUAUGAAAAUGACUUCCAUAAACUGGUUAUGUCAGUCACCUGCAUGUUUAUAAUGUUAAAUAUGAUUGUCGGCUUGUACUGUUAACAGACUGAAUAUAUUGUCUUCUAGAUCUCUGGGUGGUGGUCCUCAGCUAGUCAGAGUUGACCAUGGAUGUUGUGAUAUGCAAACCAGUACACAAGCCAGGGCUGUACAAUAUGGAGAGCAAGAUGUUGCCAAUGCAGUAGGCUCCCCUUCUCCAUGCAGCUAAUAAAUCCAAAGGAACCAUGGAGACAGGAUUGUCACCAGUAGCAAUGCCGGAGUUGCCAGUCAAUGUCAAUCAAUGUAGGACUGACUGCUCUAGGGACUUCAGCUCUGAAUUUUUUUUCUUUGUGUUUACGACUGAAGCCUUCUCCAUGAGUAGGUAUAGCCACAAGACAAUGGAGGUUUGGAAUCAGAGCUUUCCUUCUAGAUGAGCAACCAACCAUAUUUGAGUAAUAUUGUAAAUAUAUUGUUUAAUUCAGCAUUCUUUGUUGUUUACAUUAUUCACUACAGGUUAUACAUAAGAAGUACAUGAAUGAAAUACGUCAUUAUCCCACCAUGUAAGAAGUGCACACCUCAUUAAAGUAAAAAAG